rnacentral:rRNA from 1 species
UGGGGAAUUUUGGACAAUGGGGGCAACCCUGAUCCAGCAAUGCCGCGUGAGUGAAGAAGGCCUUCGGGUUGUAAAGCUCUUUUGUCAGGGAAGAAAAGGGUACGGCUAAUAUCCGUACCUCAUGACGGUACCUGAAGAAUAAGCACCGGCUAACUACGUGCCAGCAGCCGCGGUAAUACGUAGGGUGCAAGCGUUAAUCGGAAUUACUGGGCGUAAAGCGUGCGCAGGCGGUUUUGUAAGUCUGUUGUGAAAUCCCCGGGCUUAACCUGGGAAUGGCAAUGGAGACUGCAAGGCUAGAGUUUGGCAGAGGGGGGUAGAAUUCCACGUGUAGCAGUGAAAUGCGUAGAGAUGUGGAGGAACACCGAUGGCGAAGGCAGCCCCCUGGGUCAAGACUGACGCUCAUGCACGAAAGCGUGGGGAGCAAACA